AUCUCUGUAAUGGCGACAGCAGUUUUGAAUAGAUCGGUGAAUUUCCAUGAAAAGAUUACAGAAAGACAACCCCAAACGCAUGCCUGCAUAAAGGCUGGCAAUAACCCAUCAGAGAUUAUCCGGAAGACCCUUCAGGCAGGAGGCGUGCUUUAGAAGAAACAAACAAACACAAAAAUCCCAAACCCCUCAUGAACAGCAGCAGCAAACGGUCACUUCGGCAGAGGGAUGAUUUAACAGGUUAGUUGCUGGAAAGAAAACCAAAAGAAUGGACAGCUAGUUUCAUCGCAUCAUUUUUCAAAACUAUCGUGAAAAUUUGGAUAUGAUUGUAAACUGUCAGAACAAAAACUUGGUUUUUAUUACGUAAAUCUGCACGACUUGUGCAGCAAGCCACAGCAAGCCUCUACUCAGCCCUGGUCAGGCCUGACCUGGAGUACUGUAUCCAGUUCUGGGCUCCCCAGUACAAAAAAGACAGGGAUCUCCUGGAAAGAGUCCAACGAAGGGCAACACAGAGGAUACGGGACCUGGAGCAUCUUCCCUAGGAGGAAAGGAAGAGACCUGCGUGUGUUCAGCCUUGAGAAGAGAAGACUGAGAGACGAUCUUAUUAAUGUUUACAAAUACCUUAACUGUGGGAGAGAGAGGGAUUUGGCCAACCUUUUUUCAGUGGUUUGUGGGGAUGGGACAAGGGGCAAUGGCCAAAAAAUGGAGCACAGGAAGUUCCGCACCAAUAUGCGAAAGAACUUCUUCAUGGUGAGGGUGACGGAGCACUGGAACAGGCUGCCCAGAGAGGUUGUGGAGUCUCUGGAGAUAUUCAAGGCCCGUCUGGAUGCCUACCUGGGCAACCUGCUCUAGGGAACCUGCUUUGGCAGGGGGUUUGGACCCGAUGACCUUUGGAGGUCCCUUCCAACCCCUACAAUUCUGUGAUUCUGUGACUGGAUGGAAGGAUAGAAAUAUUCCAAAGACUUGGCUGAACUUGUAUUAAGCAUCAUAUGCUCUUUUUGAGAUUGCUGAUGGAAAUACUUAAGAGCUACCCUGCUGUAGGAUUAUGAAAGGAAUAAAACAUUGCACCAUCCACAAUACACAGUAUGUUAAGACGAGAAAAUUGGGAAUAU